rnacentral:tRNA from 1 species
GCCUGCGUGGUGUAACGGUAGCACACUCGGCGCAUAUUCGAGAGGUCCAGGUUCGAGUCCCGGUGAGCGCA